GUCGAGUGCGCGUCCGUAGCAAUACGGAUGGCGCACGGCGCACGGGUGCGUAACACGUGGGCAAUCUGCCCUCGGAUGGGGGAUAACUCGUCGAAAGGCGAGCUAAUACCGCAUGACAUUCCGAAGACUCCGGUCUUUGGAUUCAAAGGCCGCAAGGCCGUCUGAGGAGGAGCCCGCGCCCGAUUAGCUAGUUGGUGAGGUAACGGCUCACCAAGGCUUUGAUCGGUAGCCGGUCUGAGAGGAUGGCCGGCCACACUGGAACUGAGACACGGUCCAGACUCCUACGGGAGGCAGCAGUGGGGAAUAUUGCGCAAUGGGCGAAAGCCUGACGCAGCGACGCCGCGUGGGGGAUGAAGCUUCUCGGAGUGUAAACCCCUUUCGACCCGGACGAAUGACCCGCAAGGGUUUGACGGUACGGGUAUAAGAAGCCCCGGCUAACUACGUGCCAGCAGCCGCGGUAAUACGUAGGGGGCCAGCGUUGCUCGGAAUUACUGGGCGUAAAGGGUUCGUAGGUGGUGCGGUAAGUUGGAAGUGAAAUCUCUGGGCUUAACCCAGAGGCUGCUUUCAAAACUGUCGCGCUCGAGUGCGAGAGAGGUCAGUGGAAUUGCAGGUGUAGCGGUGAAAUGCGUAGAUAUCUGCAGGAACACCCGUGGCGAAGGCGGCUGACUGGAUCGCAACUGACACUGAGGAACGAAAGCUAGGGGAGCAAACAGGAUUAGAUACCCUGGUAGUCCUAGCCCUAAACCAUCGGAACUUGGGGUGGCCCGCGUAGGCGGGUCGUCCCGUAGCUAACGCGUUAAGUUCCGCGCCUGGGGAGUACGGUCGCAAGACUG
rnacentral:rRNA from 1 species